rnacentral:rRNA from 1 species
GGCUCAGGAUGAACGCUGGCGGCGUGCCUAAUACAUGCAAGUCGAGCGAACGGACGAGAAGCUUGCUUCUCUGAUGUUAGCGGCGGACGGGUGAGUAACACGUGGAUAACCUACCUAUAAGACUGGGAUAACUUCGGGAAACCGGAGCUAAUACCGGAUAAUAUUUUGAACCGCAUGGUUCAAAAGUGAAAGACGGUCUUGCUGUCACUUAUAGAUGGAUCCGCGCUGCAUUAGCUAGUUGGUAAGGUAACGGCUUACCAAGGCAACGAUGCAUAGCCGACCUGAGAGGGUGAUCGGCCACACUGGAACUGAGACACGGUCCAGACUCCUACGGGAGGCAGCAGUAGGGAAUCUUCCGCAAUGGGCGAAAGCCUGACGGAGCAACGCCGCGUGAGUGAUGAAGGUCUUCGGAUCGUAAAACUCUGUUAUUAGGGAAGAACAUAUGUGUAAGUAACUGUGCACAUCUUGACGGUACCUAAUCAGAAAGCCACGGCUAACUACGUGCCAGCAGCCGCGGUAAUACGUAGGUGGCAAGCGUUAUCCGGAAUUAUUG